rnacentral:rRNA from 1 species
AGUGAACGCUGGCGGUAGGCCUAACACGUGCAAGUCGAACGGCAGCACAGUAAGAGCUUGCUCUUACGGGUGGCGAGUGGCGGACGGGUGAGGAAUACAUCGGAAUCUACUUUUUCGUGGGGGAUAACGUAGGGAAACUUACGCUAAUACCGCAUACGACCUACGGGUGAAAGCAGGGGAUCUUCGGACCUUGCGCGAUUGAAUGAGCCGAUGUCGGAUUAGCUAGUUGGCGGGGUAAAGGCCCACCAAGGCGACGAUCCGUAGCUGGUCUGAGAGGAUGAUCAGCCACACUGGAACUGAGACACGGUCCAGACUCCUACGGGAGGCAGCAGUGGGGAAUAUUGGACAAUGGGCGCAAGCCUGAUCCAGCCAUACCGCGUGGGUGAAGAAGGCCUUCGGGUUGUAAAGCCCUUUUGUUGGGAAAGAAAAGCAGCAGGUUAAUACCCCGCUGUUCUGACGGUACCCAAGGAAUAAGCACCGGCUAACUUCGUG